UGUUUACUUACUUGAAUCAAAGAUCAAAAACAGCGAUAACAGAAAUUGAAAAGAUAUGCGCGGUGUUGGGGUUUUCACCCUACUCAUCGUCACUUUUUGGCAAUUGUUUCCAGUAGAAGGAAACAAUGGAGCUGAAAUUGAAUACAUCUUCUAUUCAAACGCCACUCACAUUUCCUAUGUUUCUAUUGAUGGUGGAGAAUCUAAAGCCUUGGUGAAGACACCAAGCGCUACCCUUGCUUACGACGAACUGAACUACCGUCUUUGGUAUUAUAAGGACGGUGAGAAACUGUAUAACUCAAAUUUGGAUGGGAGUGAUUUGAAAAAUGUUUCGGUUCCAUCAAAUUUCGGUCCCUUUGCUGUUGAUGCAGCGAAUCAAACUGUCUAUUAUCUCACCAAGUCUGAUUUUAACCUUAAAUUGAUUGACUA